rnacentral:rRNA from 1 species
GACGAACGCUGGCGGCGUGCUUAACACAUGCAAGUCGAACGGAGUGGCGAGCGGGUGAGUAACACGUGGGUGAUCUGCCUUGCACUUCGGGAUAAGCUUGGGAAACUGGGUCUAAUACCGGAUCGGGCAAGAUGAGCGGGCGGGCUAGCGGCUUGUGGGGGGGGGAAGGGCGGACCAAGGCGUCGACGGGUAGACGGCCUGGGAGCGGGUACGGCCACAGUGGGACUACGGGACGGCCCAGACGCCUACGGGGGGCAGGGGGGGGGAAUAUUGCUCAAUGGGCGGAAGCCUGAGGCAGCGACGCCGGGGGGGGAAUGAAGGCUGUGGGGUUGUAAACUCCUUUCGACUGGGACGCGGUACCUGUAUAAGAAGCACCGGCUAACUACGUGCCAGCAGCCGCGGUAAUAC